UCCUGGCUCAGAUUGAACGCUGGCGGCGUGCUUAACACAUGCAAGUCGAACGUGAAAGGGGCUUCGGCCCUAAGUAAAGUGGCGCACGGGUGAGUAACACGUGGAUAAUCUGCCCUUAUGAUCGGGAUAACAGUCGGAAACGGCUGCUAAUACCGGAUACGCUCAAAAUGAACUUUUUUGAGGAAAGGUGACCUCUGCUUGCAAGUUACUGCAUGAGGAUGAGUCCGCGGCCCAUUAGCUAGUUGGUAGGGUAACGGCCUACCAAGGCAACGAUGGGUAGCCGAUUUGAGAGGAUGAUCGGCCACACUGGGACUGAAACACGGCCCAGACUCCUACGGGAGGCAGCAGUGGGGAAUAUUGCGCAAUGGGCGAAAGCCUGACGCAGCGACGCCGCGUGAGGGAUGAAAGGUUUUCGGAUCGUAAACCUCUGUCAGAAGGGAAGAAACCGCACCGUGCUAAUCAGCGGUGCAUUGACGGUACCUUCAAAGGAAGCACCGGCUAACUCCGUGCCAGCAGCUGC
rnacentral:rRNA from 1 species